UCCAGCCACAGCACAAGGUAUA
rnacentral:misc_RNA from 1 species